rnacentral:lncRNA from 1 species
AGGAAGCUGGUGACAAAGAAAUCGGAGGGCUGGAGGGUAAAAGCAGGCGAAGGUGAUACUCAGAGGAGAAGGACACUGGAGAAGUCAGUCCUGAACCCACCAAUGAGGCUUGCCCUCUCUCACCUGCUGCCAUGUAAGAUGUGCCUGCUUCACCUUCCGCCAUGAUUGUCAGUUUCCUGAGGCCUCCCCAGCCAUGUGGAACUAACACCUGGCCCCUUUCCUAUGAAGAUACCCCAAGGUCUCAUCCAAGCAAUGCACCUAACUCAACAUCGAGGAUUACUGGGUGAAAUAUACCCCUCUCUGUUCCAUCUAGAUGUGGCUUCUUGUGAUCCGGGGACUGACAUUAACAAGGGUACUGGUCUUGGGAUAAGAAAUGAGAAUCUACCCAGAUCCUCUCCGGAAAAUCUGUUUUAUAAUUCCCUAAAGCUACAAUUACAUGCAAACUGGAUUCUUGAAAUAAAACACAAUUGAAUUUAAAUGACAUCUACAUGAAACCCAAUAACUCGAUUACAUUGUUUUAAUGUUCUUAAUGUGGUCAAAGGCAGCCCAUGGCUUUAUCAUCAAUUAGGUAAGCUUUUGAGGGAAAUUCUGAAAAAUGGCAAGUCCUCACGUGUGGACUGACAACUGAGCAAUUUGCCUGCUGUGCUUCAGAAAGAGAGGCCAGCUCUGUGAGGUGCUGUCGAAAUGACUGAAAACCACCCACUGCGGAUUUCUACUUCCCUCUAUGAAAACCAGCCUUCUCAGGGAUUAUCACCGCCAAUAAGAGGGGAAAAUUGCCUGCACAGUUGGUGAUUGUGGUUAACUGGUCAGGGAGGCUUCACGUACUGGCUCUUGGAAAAUUCAUAGGCAUACAAAGAUGCCAAGUGACAGGAGGAGGCUGGGGCAACCUGUGACAAAGGAGAACACAGCCACUUCUUCUACAGCAAGUCUGUGUAGAGCACCUAUUAUGCUUGAAACGCCCUUUCAAAAAAGCACAUUUCAGUCAAAAGAAUAAUGCUCUGACUUCUAAAAGCACCAAAUGUUAAUUUUCAAGGAACCAUGCCUCUUUUCCUUUGAUUAGAUCAGAAAAAAAUUGUACGUAUCUGUAAAAUUUAAGAAUGUCUGACCAAAUAAAAAAAUCUAUAAUUA